UCCCAGGGGAUGGCAGGUCUGAAGGGUGCGAUGGGCUUCCAGGGCCCCGUGGGGCCGGAGGGAGAAGGUGGCUCAGUGGGUCCCCCAGGACCUGUCGGUCCCAUGGGAGAGCCAGGCCAGCCGGGAUCCGUUGGAUGCCAAGGUGUCAAUGGCUCUCAGGGAGAAAUGGGUCCUCCUGGUUUGCCUGGUCCCCAGGGCCCCAAGGGACCACAGGGCUUGCAGGGGAGACGUGGCCCCCCCGGUCCCAGAGGCACCCAGGGUCCAGCUGGGAUGGAGGGAUCCGCUGGUCCCAAAGGAGACACCGGCACAGACGGUGUCCCCGGGCCGAGGGGACAGCUGGGCCAGGAGGGCCCUGGGGUAAGUCCAUGGGAGCAGGUGGCUGGGUGAGGGAUGCCCUCGUCCUUCCCCCUCGCAGCACCCAAAGCACCACGGAGGAAUGCCCUGCUCCCCCCUGCUAUCCCCAGCCCCCCACAAAGUUUGUGGCACAAGUGCUGGUGCAGAUGAUGGCCACGUCCCUCUGGCCACGCUCAUC
rnacentral:lncRNA from 1 species